ACAAAGCUUCUUUUGGCCAUCUGCUGCGUCGCAUUGGUCUUCACUCUUGUCUCUGCAAACAUUUCCAAAGAAGAGAUCGAUGGCUUCCUCGAGGAGCACAACAAGGCUCGUAAAGAGGUCGGCAACAAACCCCUUAAAUGGAACACGACCUUGGCCCAGUAUGCCCAAGAAUAUGCCAACAAAAGAGUUGACGACUGCGCUAUGGAGCACUCAAGAGGGCGUUGGGGUGAGAACUUGACCUCUGGUGACGGCAUGACCGGCGCAGCUGGCACUAAAUAUUGGGUCACCGAGAAAGAGUUCUAUGACCCCAAGUCCAACAAAUGCGUCAAAGAGGAAUGUGGUCACUACCUUGCUGUGAUCUGGGGCAAAACCACCGAGGUCGGAUGUGGCAUUUCAAAGUGCAAGGAUGGAAAGAACUACAUUGUUUGCAGCUACGAUCCCAUGUACCAGCCCGAGGAUGAGCGCCCAUACUAGACGAUGUAUGUACGCACACCUACAUGAGGCCUGUUGAGAGGUCCCGUGCUUUUUUAAUUCUUUUGCGAAAUAUUUAGAAAAAUAAAAUGUAACGGGUGUAUACGAAUACUUCCCCACACUGAUAACUUUCCUUUACGUGACUAGCACUUGAUAUGGAAUUGUGAGAGGUUACAAGAGAAUGAAUAAAAAAAUGAAAAAGAAUAAUAUUGUUUCAUUUUUGUAAAUUCUAACCAAAAUAUUAUGUCAUUCUCUUUAUGUUUUUUUGGUCAAUCUAUCUCUUUCUGAAAUAUUAUCUCAUUACCUCAUUCUUUCAUUUUUGGAUUAAAACCCUUGGUCAAGAUUGUGGUCGCAGUAAUUAGAGGUAGGAACUUGAUUGCUUAUGUCAUUACAGAUUUUGAAAAUUUGAAUGUGUUCGUUGUUGUAAUUAUAUUUCACCAAUUAUGUCUAUGUUUUUUUUUGGCAAAAUUGUAGCAAUCUGGCUAUACUCGGUUUAAUUAUUGUUUCUGAAAAAUAGUAUAGCCGCGCGACUAUACUUACUUUGACACGUGGGUACCUAAUCGUUGGCAGGUCCUCUUCUGUGUUUUUGUAAAUAGUAUAGCCGUGAAGCUAUACGCGAUUUUUUAUUUUUUUAAAAAAAUAGUAUAGCCGAGCGGCCGUAGUGGGUUUUUUUGGUUUUAAUUUUUUUAACAAAUAGUGUAGCCGCGCGGUUGAAACUUCACCCAAAUGCAGCAGAUGCUUCAGAUUUUAUUUCUUCUUCAUAGAUAGAGCAGCACAAGAUGCUUCGGGAUGGAAUACUGUGGUGCUUGGGCGGAGGUGCUCUUUUCCUUCUUGGCUGUCACAUUGACAGGCAUGUUGAUCGUCUCCUUUGAAAAGAUUCUAGCUUCUUCUUUCAAAAGAUUCUAGCUUUAUGUUUAACAGAGCUCACGAACAAAUAAGUACGCAUUUUGAAGUUCCGAACCGAAGCACCAUUUUUAUUUUGUCUGGUACAAUUCUUUUAAGUUCUUACAGGAAUUAAAUUUCUUGGUGGGCAACUUUUCUUUUUGCGUUUUGGGUUAUUACAGUGAAGCACGUAAACUUGAAUCGGUCCGUCGGAUUAGGGAGUUGAAGGAUUUUGGUACGCUGCUGCACUGUUUCUUUUUUCCAUAUGACUCUUAAUUGUUCUUCAAGUUCUUGACAUUUCUAAAUAGGAAUUUUAUGUUGCUUCAUUUUCAGUCGGGUUGCUGAGAUACGAAUGCCGAGUUGUUGUUGCCGUUAGAGGCAGGGUGUGCUCAGCAACUCCCAUUAACUGUGAAAUGAGUGGUUUACAAGGUAUAAUUGUGGAGCAGAGGGUACAAAUCUUAACUCUAAAUAACCUUUACAAAUUUGGAAACUUUCUUUAAUGGGUUCUUUUUUCGGUCAUCAUUGAUAAUCUACACUCUUGUUGAUGUCUGUUUUUAGGCAGAGCAGUAUUUCCUGGAACGCAUCAAGAACAUGGAUAAGGACGAGGAUAAGGACAGGGAUGAUAUAUGGAUGAAGACUCAUAAACUCUUGCAUUCUACCACACAAGAAGUCCCAAUUUACUCUCUCUCUCUCUCUCUCUCUCUCUCUCUCUCUCUCUCUCAACCAUGGUGUGUUCAUUUUUGCGUCGGAUUGAGGAAAUUUUAUAUUUGGUUCACUUCAGGAUGAUGGGACUUUUCGUGUGAACGUGGUGGGAGCUCGAAGUGCCAGCGGGUUUUACUGCCCAGCUGAAAAUGCAGUAUUUAAAGGGUCAAAGAAAAGCUGGCCUGGAAUUGAGACAGUGGCUGAUCUCGAAAACCUUCCUUCCAUAACAAAAGGGUAGAAAGACCGCAAGGUUUGGCUUACUUUAUUAGUGAUCUUUAUAUACAUACAAAACUUCAUUGAUUCUUCAAGUAAUAUGAUGGCUUGGAUAUUUUGCCUUAGGUCCUUGGAGUCCAACGAAUUGAGCUUGUACUUCCAGUUGGUACUUCUUUGAGUGUUGUUGGUGAUCCUUGGAUGAACUUAGUAUGAAACCAUAAACUGCUUUACUAGGUUGUAGUUUCAUAGAAUUCCCCCAUUUUAUUUGCACCAAGUUCUUUGAUGGAGCUUUUGUUGAUACUGAAAUGUUAUGAUGUUUAUGACAUUGAAAUGCCCCCAUUUACAAUUCUUGUUCAGGCUGUCAAAGAUGGCAAUGGUACCAUUUCGAUUUGGGCAGCAUAUGGAGGACCAUUUUAUGUCUCUCCCCAUACCGUUGAUCAGCUCACUGGAGACAGGAGGAUGUGGGCAAGAUUAGUUGUAUGAAUCCCUGAAUGCAUACAAACAUGUGGUAGCGUGUGUGUAUGUUUGCGACAUUUGUUCGUUUGCUGCUGCUUGUGUCAUGUGCAUCUCUUCCUCCAUGUGUGCUUUCUCUAAACUCCAAACUAAUGUAGAUGUCUUUCAUUGCUAGCUUCUGCUACGUUGCAGCUUUCGGUUUGACUGUGUAUGGUGCUGUCCAGAUUGCUAAGCAUUCUAUAUGAUUCAUCAUGGAAACAAAGCCCCGUUGAGAGAAAUUGCAGAGAAUGUCGAUGAUUGGAUCAUAGUUUUGAGAAUUUGAAGGCCUUUAAUUGUUCUUUUUUGUACUCUCAAUCUGACUCUGUUAUGUGGUGCAACUGUGCCAAUGGCCCUCAACUUUUUGCUUAUGAAUGUAAAUUUGCAACUUCUAAAACUUUUUAGUGUAACGGCACCAUUCUUUUUGAGGUUGAAAGUGGUCUGAGUAAAUUUUGUGUCCUCUCACGUUUAUCUCUCAUGUGCUGGUCACGUGAUCAGUUAUUGUAAGAGGAACGUUGUAUACACAUUUGUAUGUAGAAUUUUUUUCUAUUCAUUGCUUGAAUUAGUUCUAUAUUUUGUCACUUCUCUAAUCAGAUAAGGUCAUGGUCCAGUUGUAACUUAGAGGUCGGUGUGUAAGCAAAUUUCUUUCUUGAAUUAACAGAGCAGAAUGCUUAGAUGAUUGGAUCAUCUCAAAGUUGAGGCUUGUAGUGGAGGACUAAGUAUCAGAAAGCAAGACAAGUUACCCACAAUUUGCCAUAUAUUUUUUCGGACCGUUGCAUUCGUACACAUUUGCAUCCCUACGUGGCUAUUUCAGCUUACAAGACACCUAUAUCUUACCAAACUUUUGUUUUCAGGUUCCGGCCUGCCACCUUAAGCACCUAUAUAUAUUAAAAAUUGUUUCACCUCUAUGACCUUAACCAUCCAUCUUCAAUAAAAAUCAUCCUUCUUAACCAUGGCUCUGAAAGUUAUUGCCCUUCAAUUAAUAGCAUCAUUGGCUGCAUUCUUGCCUACAACUAUCCCCGCCAAUCUCAGUUAUCCGGCAUUGUUUAACUUCGGCGAUUCGAAUUCAGACACCGGAGGCCUCAAUGCAGGAAUUGCUUUUCCUAUUAAACGUUUCUGCAAUGGCUAUUUGAUCAUUGAUUACCUAAGUAUAUAUCUUUGUUCUUACAUGUACAUGUAUAUAAUUUUUGGUUUACAUAGACAUGUUUGACAUGUUACAAUUUUACUUUACUUGCAUUAAUAUAUGCUGCAGUGAAUGAAAUGGACCUACCAUUUCUGAAUCCAUACUUGGAUUCUGUUGGUGCACCAAGCUUCCAAACAGGAUGCAAUUUUGCAACUGCAGGGUCUACUGUUCUUUCAGCCAAUGCAGCCUCAAUAAGCCCCUUCUCCAUUGGAAUUCAGGUUGCUCAAUUUGGCAGAUUCAAGGCAAAAGCUCUUGAGUUACUAUCUAAAGGUAAUAAUAAUAUAAUGUGGUAAGAAUUGGCUUGUUGAUCAUGUGGAAUUUACUGAUGAGAGUUUUGGUGACUGGUGUGGGAUUUAGACAAGAAGCUUCAAAAUGUCCUCCCUUUCGAAGAUUAUUUCAAGCAGGGCCUUUACACAUUCGAUGUAAACGAGCCAAGCUGAGCCGAAUCUUGGGCUAUAAGCCAAGCCAACCUUUUGGGCUCAAACUUUUUGUAGGGCUUGCAAUAUGAUUUUAACGUUUUAGCCCACCCCAAACAGGGCGGCCACUGAAACUUGCCUGAAUAUGAAUAUUUCUUGGUCAUUAAGUUUGUUACAAAUUUGUUACCCUUUUCAACUUGAUUUCUUUCCUGGGGUGUUUCUUAUUUACAAAAACUACUUCACAAAAGAGGGAACUUGCCCUUAUUUAACAAUAAAUAAGGACAAAUUUGAUUUCUUCCUCACAGUACCGAAAGUAGAAGAUGAUUGAAAGUUUAGUAAUUUUUUUUUCCUGGGUUUUUCUUAAUUACAAAAACUCCUCCAUGAAAGAAGAUGCUUUAUGUAAAAGGGUCAAAUUUGAUUUCUUUCACAGAGAGUAGAAGAAGAUGUUUGAAGGUAUAUUAUUUUGUUUGUUGGGAGGUGCUUCUGUGACAGCUCAGUUUAUGCUCCAGCUUUAUGUUAAUCGUCUCCUUUCAAAAGAUUCAAGCUUUUUGUUCGGCAGAGCUCAGUAUGCACUGUUUACGGAGUUCAAGGAUUUGGGUAUGCACUGUUUCUUUUUUCCAGUAGAAACUCUUAGUUGUUCUUGAAAUUCUUAUAUCAUAUUGAAAUCUGACGAUAGAUUGAUGGUUGCAUUUCGGGGAAAUUCCUAUAUAAUACAUGUAUUCCUUGGCGCCAUUCGCCGGGUUAGCCGUCCCUUGUUAAUUUUGUUAAGAGAAAUACAAACAGACAAAAAUCUAAUUGGUUUAUUCAAAAUUUUAACAAAGGACUAAUUAUCCUUACUCUGGUAAGAAACUUAAGGCUCAAUAACCGUGUGUAUUUUCUUUUGAGUGCCGCUAUUUUCAUCCCCCCUUGUCUUCUUUGAAGGAAGUUGAGAUUCCACCUUAAAACCAAUUUUCAAUAAGGGGAGUAACCAAAAUCCUUAUCAGCCCUUGUAAGGUUUUCUAACUUUCUAACGUGGGACUUUUUGCCUUCACAUUCUCACACGCCCCACCUCGUGUGGCGAAUUUUCAAACCUAACAAGUAGAAAACACAUUUUGGGUGACAUUAGCACGUGUAGUCGUUGGGCUUUCACACGUGGUCAACUUGCUCUAAUACCAUGAAGGAAGCUGAGGUUCCACCUCAAAACCAAUUAGCAGGGGGGUGUGGGUGGGGGUGGUAUGUGAGUAACCCAACUCCUUAUAAGUUGGAAGGUUUUACUUUAGUCCAUGUAAUUUUAAUUUUGUCAAUUUAACUCAUGAAGUUCGUUCUAUCAUAAUUCAAGGACACAUCCAAAUGUCCAUACAAAACUCUGUCCAAAAUACUCUCCACGUAAGAGACAAGUGUUUAUUUCAUCAAGAAAUUGGACGAAAAUUUGGAAGUGUCCUUUAAAUUGCAAGAAAAUCAGACUACAUAAAUGAAAUUGCUAAAAUUGAAACUACAUGAACAAAAGUGAAAUUUUCGUCAAACUAGAUGAAAAGUGAGUUUUUGCCUAACUAAUUUGCUUCCUCUUUCAUUUCUUUAUAUUUUGGAGAGAAGCAUAAUGCAUUUAACUUUUAUUUUUAAAAGCUACAACAAGUUGACAGAGUGGGCCAUAUAAGAAAGUUCAUUUAUAUCGUUAACAAAGUCAAAACUUUGAUCCUCAGUGUAAGGCUGAAUGUUUUAGUAAUUGCAGCUAAAAAUCCCCACCUGAUUAUAUACUGUAAAAUAUGAUUCAAAUAAAACUUCACUUAAUCAAUGGUAUGGAUUGAUUGUCUGACAAUACAAUGUUUGUAUGGAUACCAAAUCCACUCGGUGACGCGAUGCCACAAGUUUUAUUUGUUCUCCAUGCUUGUUUAUAGAACUUAACAAACCCUCCCAUUUUAGGAUCCUAUAUUUAACCCUCCCAACCAUAUAAAUAUGCACAAUCUCAUUUCCUAUUUCAAUCAACUUCUAACAAUCCAACCUUCUUUGCUACAAAGCAAAGACCUUAAACUUCUCAUAUCAAGAAACAAAAAUGGCGUUCAACACGAAGCUUCUUUUGGCCAUAUGCUGUGUCGCAUUGGUCUUCACUCUUGUCUCUGCAAACAUUUCCAAAGAAGAGAUCGAUGGCUUUCUCGAGGAGCACAACAAGGCUCGUAAAGAGGUCGGCAACAAACCCCUUAAAUGGAACACGACCUUGGCCCAGUAUGCCCAAGAAUAUGCCAACAAAAGAGUUGACGACUGCGCUAUGGAGCACUCAAGGGGGCGUUGGGGUGAGAACUUGACCUCUGGCGACGGCAUGACCGGCGCAGCUGGCACUAAAUAUUGGGUCACCGAGAAAGAGUUCUAUGACCCCAAGUCCAACAAAUGCGUCAAAGAGGAAUGUGGUCACUACCUUGCUGUGAUCUGGGGCAAAACCACCGAGGUCGGAUGUGGCAUUUCAAAGUGCAAGGAUGGAAAGAACUACAUCGUUUGCAGCUACGAUCCCAUGUACCAGCCCGAGGAUGAGCGCCCAUACUAGACGAUGUAUGUACGC
rnacentral:lncRNA from 1 species